UUAAGGAAGCUGUAGAAAUAUCCUAUCCAGGGGAGAAAGAAUCUCUCCAUGUAAAGCAUUUCCAAAAAGCCUCUAUAUUUCUGUCUUUCCUUCAUCUAUUUUGUCAAAAUCUGCAACUCAUUGUCUAGCAUUUCUUCUUCCCAAAAAAGAGCAUGUCAUUGAUCCCUCGAAAUCGCCCUCGAGUUAUUGUCAAUGGAGUCCAGAGAAUGAGAACAUACCAUUACUAUUGGUGCAGGCAUUGCCAAAGAUCAAUCAGGACAACAUCAGCCAAUCCAUUUGAAAUAUUAUGUCCUACUUGUUUUGGCCAAGUUCACUAUGAACUUGAUGUUACAAGGCCUAGGCUAAUAGUUUCUGAUGUCACAAGGCUACAACCACAACCAUCCUCGAAUUCUCGCCUUCUUGAUGCCUUGGCACUCAUGACUGAUCCAUCAAUCAGACAACAAAACAAUAAUACUGAUCAAAAUCAUCAGACUAGACAACGCGCUCGUGUCAUUCUCCAAUUUAUAGGCCCUGAUGAUCAACCUAUUAGGCCUGUCUCUCCUCAUGACAACGCGCUUCCUUUGCCUUUCAUUCAAGAAUUGACUCAUAACGAUAGGCCAGGGCCGCCUCCAGCCCCAUCUUCAGCAAUUGAUGCAUUGCCAAGAAUUGUACUCAAUGCAAACCAUUUGGAAAAUGACUCUGUUUGUCCUGUUUGUAAAGAUGAAUUUGAAGUUGGGAUAGAAGUUAAAGAACUUCCUUGCAAGCAUUUUUAUCAUUCAGAAUGCAUUGUUCCAUGGCUUAGAAUGCAUAAUACUUGUCCGGUUUGUCGAUAUCAGCUCGAAGGUUUCUCAAACAAUGAAGAUCAACAUGGAUACACAAAUGAAUUUAAUGAAGAAGAAGAAGAGGAGAACAUGAGGAAUCCUCUAAUAUGGGGUUGGACUCAGCUUAAUUCCUUUUGGCCUUUUAGUUUGCUGUCAAGUUGGGGUCACAGAUAUUUUAACCCUUUUGAGACUACAACUUCUACAUUUCCAAGAGGGAGAGCUUGGUGGAACCCUUGGAUUUUACCUUGAUAAUGCUUGCUGCUUAAUUGGUUCUUUAUUCCAUUUAAGGAACUGUGCAUAGUAGGUUGCUUUUAUCCUUAUUUGCUUCAUUAGGCAUUAAAGCAGGUAUGUUUACAACUCAAUUAUAUAGCAUUAUCAUUAUGAAUAUGUGCAUGGAAUGUACCUGAGCAUGGGAUCAAAUUAAAAGAUUAAGAGACUCAACAGGUCAACUUUAAAAAACCAAAUCGGUUAAUGUUGCUGAUGGCUUAUGGAUUUCAAGGACAUUGUGGUUCGACUAUUAAAGUCAUUGAUUUGUUUUCAGCCAGAAAAAUGCAAGAAGAGAGAGGAAGAAAAAUAUGAAGGGGAGAAAGAGAAGCCUCAGGACUAUGUACAAUGUAGCUUUGUGGACCAAUAUUUCUAUUAUUUGUUCGUAAUGGUCAAAAUUAUGUCUAGCAUCGACCUCAAUCUCUAAAUCUAAAAGCUUGUUUUUUUUUUUUAAAGAAUGAUGACGAGCUACUGAAAAAACAAAUAUUAGGUAACAUGUGUGCUGUGGUAGGUGAAGGAAUAGAUUAACCAAUUUCAAAUUAAAAAUCUUGUGAUCUAAUAGGUCACGUGUUUUAUAACGUAAUUAAGCAGGUUUAUUGAGACUGAUUUAUUAAAAGAAAA